UGAUUCAAUUUGGGUGCGUCCAUGUGCAAAAAUGAUUCCGGGAUAACAGUGACAUUUACUCUGACUUGUUUGGAAAUUACUAUUGUCGCACAAUAAAUACUGAACAAUUUCAAACUGGUUGACGGCAUGAUAAGUCAAUGCAGAUGCAGGAAUUGGUAAAUCACCCUGCACGCGAACGACUGCCGCCAGACGCCUCCUCAUCCCUCAUGCACGUGACGCUAGGGGCUUAAUGCUAAUUUCACAUUCAAAGCAUGAUUGUCAAAAUGGGGGAUGUGUGAUUUGUAGGUCCGUAAGGAGCCGCGUGUGUAAACCGUCCUGGUGUUUCAGUGGGAUUCUUACUAUACCAAUUAUAUGAUAAUUAAAAUGAAAUAGAAAUUCAAAUUUAUAAACAAAGAAAACAAUUUAGCAGGGGUAAGAGUAUUCGGCGUCACGGUAGUCAUCACUUGUUUGUAUACAGUCGGUUGCGAGUUUAACCCUAAGCAUGGCUGUUAUUACCUAUCACAGAGGUUUGCCUGAUGGCAGCGAUAAUAGGGGGUAUAAGUAGGUCACGGGACUACGCGAGACCUAACGUUAUUUAGUACUUCCGGUGACAAACAACGUCCGGCUGCAAUGGCGACAGCAGUGUCACGUCGGACAGGGCCCGGCGAAUCAUAUAUCGAACACGCAGGUGUAACUAAGAAAAACAUGACACUGUCACAGACAUUAAAACACUCGAGAUGGGGAAAAGGAAUAGCAAGUGUUGGCUUGUCAAAGCAGUUGCAGUGUUGUCAAGACGUCCCAUGGUCGAUGUCAAACUGGCCGCUACCCAUUCAUAAAUAUUGAGUUGGACCAUAUUUCCAUGUUUGAGGGGAGAAAGAGUAGAUGCAUAUGGAUCACCAGAAUUACCUUGAUGCCAAGCAUAACUGCACCUCAAGAGCAUCUCGGACUAUAGCAUAUCUUCAGAUUUCUUGGAAUAAUUUGUGGUCAAGCAUUACAUUGCCUAUGAAAGAACAACUCUUGUUAUGUAUACAGGUGUAAACAUAUUAAAGUUCUAUCUGAACAUUUUGCUGAAGUACUGGUUCUGUAAAUGAUGUCUGUUACCAUCAGAAUACACCAUAUACACUGGACACUUGCUGGAACAGGACCUACUUGUCAUCAACAUGGUGUUGCAGAACAUCUUGGGACUCUCUCAUAACGUUCAGUGUGAAUCUAGAUACUGACACCAGUAACAGUGCAUGCUGGCACAUUUAUUUGUUCAGGCUUGGCAUUUGGGAAUAUUUGCCAUGAAUGUUUAAUACUCAUGACCUUGGAAUAAAAUUACUGAAUAGA